rnacentral:rRNA from 1 species
GAUGAACGCUGGCUACAGGCUUAACACAUGCAAGUCGAGGGGAAACGACGGGGAAGCUUGCUUCCCCGGGCGUCGACCGGCGCACGGGUGAGUAACGCGUAUCCAACCUGCCUCUGACUGAGGGAUAACCCGUCGAAAGUCGGCCUAAUACCUCAUGGCAUCGUCUGCGGGCAUCCGACGACGAUUAAAGAUUUCAUCGGUCAGAGAUGGGGAUGCGUCUGAUUAGCUUGUUGGCGGGGUAACGGCCCACCAAGGCGACGAUCAGUAGGGGUUCUGAGAGGAAGGUCCCCCACAUUGGAACUGAGACACGGUCCAAACUCCUACGGGAGGCAGCAGUGAGGAAUAUUGGUCAAUGGGCGAGAGCCUGAACCAGCCAAGUAGCGUGCAGGAUGACGGCCCUAUGGGUUGUAAACUGCUUUUAUGCGGGGAUAAAGUGAGGGACGUGUCCUUCAUUGCAGGUACCGCAUGAAUAAGGACCGGCUAAUUCUGU